CUAAACAGAUCGGAGAUUGGACUGGGAGGGCGGGGGCCGGAGGCGGGUCAUGGGCUGGGGGGAAGGGUGGACGAGCGACGGAAACCCUCAGAUUCAGAGAAGCAUCGAGAACCGGAAGAAGACCAUGGGAGGAAGAUCCACAGAGUUGCAGAACUAAAGAGAUCAGAGUUUGGGGUCAGAAAAACUUAACUGAAAUAUCCAGGCGGGGCAGAAAUAGAAGGAUGGAAUUGGCCUGUUUUAAUCUGCCAGAUGUAAAAUACGGAAAGAGUGGUUUUGCUCUCUGUGUAUCCUUCAGGCAAAGGGUAGUAGGACAUUAAUUUUUAAAAGGAAUAAAGAAGCUAUAUAAGAAUGGUAGGAAACAUCGCUCCCUACCCAAAGGGAACUCACCAUAUCCAGGAGGUCCAUAAAGAAAAGUCCCAGAUAAGCCAAUUUGUAUUACCCUAAUCUAAACAAGCUUCAGUAUGAAAAGUAUAAUGGAACAUGUUAAUGCUCUUAAUUAACAAUGCACAGCAGACUGGGACAAAUUUGAGGUGCUUUUCCAAACUGCUGCCUUUGUGUUGGAUCUCAGACGAAGUGAUACAGUGCUCUGGCCCUUUGAGUGGAGUCUUGGUUUCUUAUAGCCUUCUGGUGCUCUCGGAGUUAAGAGAGUGAGAGAGCACAAGCAAGGAAAAGCAGCAGAGGGAGAGGGAGAAGCAGGCUUCCCGCUGAGCAGGGAACCCGACGCGGGGCUCAAUCCCAGGACCCUGGCAUCAUGACCUGAGCCGAAGGCAGAUGCCCAACCAACUAAGCCACCCAGGCGCCCCUAUAACAAAUACUCUUGUACGAGUGUUUGUAUGGACAUAGAUUUUCAUUUCUUUUAGGGCCACUAAUGAGUGAUGGUGUUGUAUAGUGACCACUCACACCCCAGUACUGCCAGCUCACUGCAGAUCCUUUUGUGAAUCAACAAGACCAAGGGGCGCCUGGCUGGCACAGUUGGUUAAGCGGCUGCCUCCGGCUCAUGUCAUAAUCCCAGAGUCCUGGGAUUGAGCCCCACAUCCGGCUCCCUGCUCCACGGGGAGCCUGCUUCUCCCUCUGCCUCUCUCUGUCUCUCAUGAAUAAAUAAAUAAGAAUCUUAAACAAACAAAAUAAGACCGACACAUUUUUCUCUUCAUUAAUUGCUCAGAGGAACUCUUUUGAAGCCAGUUUAUAUGGACUGGGAGAGAAAUGCUGAAGGAAUAUGGGCAGGUAUUACUCGAAUGAGUCACCUGCUCAUUCAGUUUAGUUGUGACGGUGUUCCCAGUGUUGUAGGGAGUGGACUGCUGUUGCGUCCAUCCAGUUGUAUGGUUUGGUGAAUCAGGUAACACCAGUUCAUGAUGGGUAGUUGAUUAUUCACGCAGUCACUUGAUGUCCCAUGGUCAGGUGUUCCAUCUCUACCAGGUAUCAGGAGCAAGUCAG